AUGGGGAAUUUGGAGUUCGAUGAUGGUUUGAAUGAGGAAGCUGGUGCCCUUAAUUUACAGCUUGCUGGACAUGCUUCACUGGUGGUGGAAAGGGAGAUUGCGAGCUGGGAUGGUGUGAAUGAAAAGCAAAGUAGCUGGAGACGUCAUAAAGUUUGUGAGAUGCAUUCUAAGGCUACUAGGGCACUUGUGGGGAAUGCAAUGCAGAGGUUUUGUCAACAGUGUAGUAGGUUUCACUUACUUCAAGAGUUUGAUGAAGGAAAGCGAAGCUCUCAGAGACGCUUGGCUGGCCAUAAUAAACAGAAAAGAAAAAAACCAAAAUAA